rnacentral:rRNA from 1 species
GAUCCUGGUUCAGGACGAACGCUGGCGGCGCGCCUAACACAUGCAAGUCGAACGGAGUCAAGAGGAGCUUGCUUUUCUUGACUUAGUGGCGAACGGGUGAGUAACGCGUGAGUAACCUGCCCUGGAGUGGGGGACAACAGUUGGAAACGACUGCUAAUACCGCAUAAGCCCACGGCCCGGCAUCGGGCUGCGGGAAAAGGAUUUAUUCGCUUCAGGAUGGACUCGCGUCCAAUUAGCUAGUUGGUGAGGUAACGG